GUGGGGAAUCUUAGACAAUGGGGGAAACCCUGAUCUAGCCAUGCCGCGUGAGCGAUGAAGGCCUUAGGGUUGUAAAGCUCUUUCAGCUGGGAAGAUAAUGACGGUACCAGCAGAAGAAGCCCCGGCUAACUCCGUGCCAGCAGCCGCGGUAAUACGGAGGGGGCUAGCGUUGUUCGGAAUUACUGGGCGUAAAGCGCGCGUAGGCGGACCAGAAAGUUGGAGGUGAAAUCCCAGGGCUCAACCUCGGAACUGCCUUCAAAACUAUCAGUCUGGAGUUCGAGAGAGGUGAGUGGAAUUCCGAGUGUAGAGGUGAAAUUCGUAGAUAUUCGGAGGAACACCAGUGGCGAAGGCGGCUCACUGGCUCGAUACUGACGCUGAGGUGCGAAAGCGUGGGGAGCAAACAGGAUUAGAUACCCUUGUAGUCC
rnacentral:rRNA from 1 species